CGCCGCUACCAAUCUCCCCCUUAUUUCUCCUCGCCUCCACCCGCGCAUCUCCGGGCAGCCUAAAAUCAUACCCACCCUACCCUACCCUACCCUACCCUCGGUGGCCGCCGGCUCUGCCUCCCCGUAAUCCCAAAGUUGCAGCAGGGGACCCGCCGUGAUGGGUUCUGCAUACCCGACGGGAGGAGACUGACCGGCGGAGAAUAAGGUGCUGCUGCAGUCUGCCGGGUGCCGGGCAAUGGGCGUCGCCGUGGGACAGGUGAAGCCGACGUCACUGGGCAGCCGCCCCCGUCGAAUGCGGCCUUCGUACGCCCCCUUCUCCGAGCCCUUCACUGAACGCAAGGCACAUGCCGCGCCGUCAUCCCCUUCCUGGCCGGCAGCGUGCUGCGCGUAGAGGCCCCUCCCUCCUCCGCCCAGCUUUCUCCACCGAUCUGGCUCCAUAAAAAAUUCCGCUUCCUCUCCGUGUUCGCGAAUUUGUUUGAUCCAAAAUGGAAGUAUUUGGCGAUCGGGAUGACCCGACCGAUCCUGAAUACAUAGAGGUGGAUCCGACCGGGCGAUACAUGCGCUACAAUGAGGUGUUGGGGAGAGGAGCUGUCAAGACUGUUUACAAGGCAUUUGAUGAGGCCGAAGGUAUUGAAGUUGCAUGGAAUCAAGUCAACAUAGAUGAGCUGAUGCAGUGUCCAGAUAACCUUGAGAGGCUCUACUCGGAAGUUCAUCUACUGAAAUCUCUCAAGCAUGAAAAUGUAAUGAAGUUCUACAAUUAUUGGGUCGAUGAUCGAAAGAAGACAAUCAAUGUUAUUACUGAACUGUUUACAUCUGGCAAUCUUAGGCUUUACCGACGGAAACAUCCACGCGUUGAUUUGAAAGCAAUAAAGAAUUGGGCAAGACAGAUUCUUCAUGGAUUAGAUUACUUGCACAGCCACCAACCUCCCAUUAUCCACAGAGACCUGAAGUGUGAUAAUAUUUUUGUUAACGGCAAUCAUGGACAAGUUAAGAUUGGAGAUCUUGGACUAGCUACAAUUAUGCGAACGCCUAAAGCAAGAAGUGUUAUUGGUACUCCUGAAUUCAUGGCACCUGAGCUAUAUGAUGAGGAUUACGAUGAACUGGUUGAUAUUUACUCGUUCGGUAUGUGCAUGUUGGAAAUGUUCACUCUUGAAUAUCCAUACAAUGAAUGCAAAAAUGCAGCUCAGAUUUUUAAAAAAGUAUCCAAGGGUGUCAAACCGGCUGGACUGUCCAAAAUUGUAAAUGCUGAAGUUAAGAAUUUCAUUGAGAAAUGUUUAGUUCCUGCUUCUGAGAGGCUGUCCGCAAAAGAACUAUUGCAAGAUCCAUUUCUUUGCACCGAUAAUGCAAAAAGUUUUGCUAGCAUUAUGGUUCCAUCAUCAAUUCCCAAAGCAAUGGGGAUCCCUCUGGAAUCUUUGCACAUGGACGUCGAUACUCGUGAAUCUAUGUGUGCUAGCUCGGGCGAGAAAAAUGUCCUUGGGUCUCCACACAAUUCCGUGUUGGAGUUCACGAGAACUAACAGAAAUACAGAACUCAAUCUAAAGGGCGAGAAAGUUGAUGAUAGUUCAGUCUCACUGGUUCUACGGAUUGCUGAUUUGUGUGGUCAAGCAAGAAAUAUCCAUUUCCUCUUCUACCUCGAAUCUGACACGGCUAUGUCUGUUGCUGCGGAAAUGGUUGAACAGUUGGAGCUAGCAGACUGCGACGUUACUUUCAUUGCUGAUUUUAUUGACCUUCUGAUAAUCAAUCUUGUUCCUGGUCGGAAACUGGCAAAUGAUGCAGCGAUGAAUCCAUAUGUGGAAUCUAAAACGUGUGGAAGUGAGCAAUUAACUAUUUCCCAGCAGAACCCAUUAGAGAUGCCACCUGAUUAUGUGUUAGUUGAAAGUACAAUGCAUCCUAAAGAUAUCAGUGCAUCGCCGAAUAAAUAUCCAGAAUCUGUCUCAAGUGCAACUAAUCUGGAGGGGCCAAAGUGCUCCGAGGGAUCGGACUUUUCUUCUCGGCUUGCUGGGAGUUCUGAAAGUCCGAGCUACGAUGGCACUGAUGACUGUGGGAUUAUGUACUGUGGUGGGUACAAAGAGGGAAUCCAUAAACUGGACUGCAACCAUGUUCUAGGUGAUGGGCCAAGGAACAUUUCGAUUUUCCAUAUAGAUGAAACAUCACCACCUCCUUCGGAGCUGGUGAGCGGCUGCUCGUCAAUUUCCAUUACCGACAGUCAAGAUGUGCUGAAUGGGGAGCUUGAUUUGAUUGAAGUUGAGUAUAAAGAUUGGUUUGAUGAAUUAGCGAGGAUGCGGGAAGAAGCUAUGGAAGGAGGAGGACAGGAGAAGUGGUUACCAUAUAAUGAUGUUUGAGUUCAAGUAUCGUGUCUCGUCUGAAACAUCAUUGGAAUGUCUUUAGAUGUUCCUCUGCCUCCUGUUUCUACAGUUUUUCUUUUCUCAUGCAAAUGCGAGUUAUAAUAAUCAGUAGGAUCAUUGUCAUCGAUUUAGUUUUGUAGCUUAGCUCCGAGUUUUCCCAGCAUUAUAACUUUGAUGUGGCAUCGGGAAGACGCAACUGUUGUAGAUAUAUGAGCUGGAGAAAUUUUCAGUGUUGGAAUGAAUAUAUGCAGUUCCCCAGUA